GUCCACGGUGGGAGAAACUGGUCCGCCGCAGCGGAGUGCGCAAGCGUGGUCCGGGCUGUGAGGGGCUGGAGGCCUCUGGGUGUCAUCUUGGGCCAGCUGGAAGGGCUAGGAUUUACUGCUGCCCUCUGACCCCAAACGUAGCUCACUGGGCUGGGGGUUGUGUUGUCGCCCUACCAGGGCUGAGAUUACCCGUCAUCACAUUAUCACACGCUUAAUGUGUGAGAUAAGCACACAGUGGGUACCCCCAGCGAAAGUGUAGGCAUGAUCAGGGCACUCAGUAAGAAAUGUCUUCUACGGGUGCAGCACAUCUACACAGGGAAAGUUGCUCAGGCUCCUUGGAGUCCUAGAUUUCUUCCUUUGCUUUUCCGUCUCCCCCACUGUCCCUUCCUGCCGUUACUGUGACUUAUGCUGCCCAACACUUCUUGAAAGACCCCCGGAGAGGACCUUUCCCUCAGGAGGAGUCCCAAGCGCCCAAUGACCGAGCCGAGUCCACUCGGAUGCAAUCAGCAAGAGGGUUUAUUGUCAAACACAGGCUUUCGCCCGAUUCUCGGUACCGUGUCAGUGCU
ensembl:lncRNA